UACGUAGGAGGCAAGCGUUGUCCGGAUUUACUGGGCGUAAAGAGCGUGUAGGCGGCAUGGUCAGUCUGCUGUGAAAGCUCUCGGCUUAACCGGGAGAGGUCGGUGGAAACUGCCAAGCUUGAGGACGAUAGAGGGGGGUGGAAUUCCCGGUGUAGUGGUGAAAUGCGUAGAUAUCGGGAGGAACACCAGUGGCGAAGGCGGCCCCCUGGGCCGCUCCUGACGCUGAGACGCGAAGGCUAGGGUAGCGAACGGG
rnacentral:rRNA from 1 species